ACCAGACUCUUGUGUAGUUCCGGAUCAGUAAAGCUAGCGUGUGGUACUCACAGUAUCCAGACCAGACUCUUGUCUAGUCCAGGAUCAGUAAAGCUAGUGCGCGUGGUACUCACAGUAUCCAGACCACACUCUUGUCUAGUCCAGGAUCAGUAAAGCUAGCGUGUGGUACUCACAGUAUCCAGACCAGACUCUUGUGUAGUUCCGGAUCAGUAAACCUAGCGUGUGGUACUCACAAUAUCCAGACCAGACUCUUGUCUAGUCCAGGGUCAGUAAAGCUAGCGCGUGGUACUCACAGUAUCCAGACCAGACUCUUGUGUAGUUCCGGAUCAGUGGUCUCCAGGUCUUGCAGCGUUAUAGGCUUCCCCAGCAGCUGCUUGUAGAAGGGCAGGGUGAAGCCGCCGUUGAUGUAGUGGCUAUGGAACACCGCCAGGCCCAUCACACGACCCACAAAGUGGAAAUACGACAGGUGGUCCUAUAUACACACACACACCACCAUCGUCAUCAGUACUCACAGGGGUGAUCUGUAGUGUGCGUGUGUGUACUCACAGGGUUGAUCUGUAGUGUGUGUACUCACAGGGUUGAUCUGUAAUGUGUGUGUACUCACAGGGUUGAUCUGUAGUGUGUGUGUACUCACAGGGUUGAUCUGUAAUGUGUGUGUGUACUCACAGGGUUGAUCUGUAAUGUGUGUGUGUACUCACAGGGUUGAUCUGUAAUAUGUGUGUACUCACAGGGUUGAUCUGUAGUGUGUGUAUGCACAGGGUUGAUCUGUAGUGUGUGUAUGCACAGGGUUGAUCUGUAAUGUGUGUGUAUUCACAGGGUUGAUAGAGGAGUCAGGGUUGAUCUGUAGUGUGUGUACUCACAGGGUUGAUCUGUAGUGUGUGUACUCACAGGGUUGAUAGAGGAGUCAGGGUUGAUCUGUAGUGUGUGUACUCACAGGGUUGAUAGAGGAGCCAGGGUUGAUCUGUAGUGUGUGUACUCACAGGGUUGAUAGAGGAGUCAGGGUGGAUCUGUAGUGUGUGUACUCACAGGGUUGAUAGAGGAGUCAGGGUUGAUCUGUAGUGUGUGUACUCACAGGGUUGAUAGAGGAGUCAGGGUUGAUCUGUAGUGUGUAAAUGUUGUCUGUUGAGUACUGGAACAGGCCGUAGUACGGGUUCAACAUCUCAUGGCAC
rnacentral:lncRNA from 1 species